UCGGUUUGUCGCUAACUGAAAGUUGGAGGAAAGUCCGGGCAACAAAGAGCAUCGUACUUCUUAAUGGGAAGCCGUCCGUGAGGGUGGAGUAGGGUAACAGAAAAUAACCGCCUCCUUUUUGAAGGAGGUAAGGGUGAAAAGGUGGGGUAAGAGCCUACCGGCAAGUUUGGUGACAUAUUUGGCCGUAUCCCUUGCGAGUUGUAAGACCAUGUAUACCGGCGCAUGUAGGGCUGCUCGUCCGAUGCCGGGGGGUAGGUCGCUGGAGUUUGCCGGUGACGGUAAACCAAGAUAAAUGACAAACGCUUGUCGAUUGACAGGUACAGAACCCGGCUUAUAGACUUACUG
rnacentral:RNase_P_RNA from 1 species